rnacentral:misc_RNA from 1 species
UCCGCAGCAGGCCCGUCUACUACUUGCGUUUUUUUGUUCUUCACUCCCGACCCUGUUUUUCUCCUUGCGCGACAUGUCCAAGUCUAUUGCUGUAAUCGCUGCGGGUGCCCCCGCUGCUCUGGUGCAGGCUGCGUCCGCCAUGGUGUCCAAGGCAACUGGUGGUGCCGUGAAGGCGAUGCAGGCGACCUCGGCUGCGUCCAAUGCCAUCGUUGUCGGCAUGCAGGCCCCGCUUGGCGUGUACGCGUGCGUCGCCGAGCCGCCUAGCACGGCCAGUGGCCCAUAUGCAGGCGUGAAGACGGUUGUGGUGCGCGCCAUCCUCCCGCGCCGCGCGCCUGACACGAUGCAGGUGCGCGACAUACUGGACGUGUAUCCGGCCUCCGGCAUUACAUGCGAGAAAGAGACAGCAGAGGCGGUGGAGAACUUCAACAAGGCGGCCAAGGUGGCUGUAGAGAAGGCGAAGGCAAUGAAGGCGACGCGCGUGACGCUCGUAAUGAAGCCGGUGACCAAGUACGAGCGCCUAAAUGGCCUCUUCCGCGAGACGUGUACCAAGACGAUCGAGGCAGCCGGCCUUUCCGUCGAGACUUCCACCACGGCUGCGGCGACGAACACCCUCAUCAUGUUUCCGGAGAAGAUGAGCGUUGUUAUGGUGAGCGACGACCCCGUCUGCGAGAACGUGCAGUACGCGUUUGCCGGCGUCGUCGGCGGCGUUCACACCACCUACUAUACCGACGCCGGUAGUAAGAUCCACGGAGGACACAGCUACAAGUCCGUCGCGAUGGCGCUGGCGGAGGAGCUUAGGUCCUUAGGCAUGAAGGCGGAGGCAGCGAAGGUGGAGGCGGCCGCACAGAAGAGCCCCCGCAAUGCGGCUGCUGCCAUGUAGUGGCCAGCAGUGACGACGAGCCAUGACGAGAGGCGCUGGGGCAGUAAUGGUGUUGGUGGCGGACGGGAGGGCGCGAUGACGGCGGCGAGGCAAGCACGCUUGCUCGUCGUGUGUUGCUGCGACUCGUGCACUGUCGCCCCGCGGCGUCUCUCCUGCACGCCAUCGCGUGCCUUUUUUUUUUCAUUUCGUUCCCCUCCAUUGUGAACGCGCGUUUCGCAUUUGAUCAAUGAAGUUAGUGGACUUUAGUAGCCGUAGUGGGUGUUACGAGGGCUGGGGCAGGGCGGACAAGGGGAGGCGCCAGCAGCAAAGCAGAGAGGCGAAAGGCAGGCGGAUGGGGGCCUGGGAGGUGCCCAGGCCAUGCCCACCUCAAGCAGCGGCCAUCGGAAACGGAGCUUGUAUGCUGGUCCUUCUUUUUUUUUUCGCGACGACGCCCCUCGCUUCCUCCAGCCCCUGCUCCUCCGCUUUCUCCCUCUUCGCUUGCCGCUGCUCUCCACCUGCGUCCCCUACCCUUGUAUGUGGCCAGUAUCGCGCACAAGCACGGUGGGGAGGGGGUACCACGUAGGCAAGAGAAAGGGCGGGGGGAGGCCGGGGAAGCAGACGGAGAGCAGCGGAAGCAUCAGCUGUACGCCCCAAUACGUGCAAGCAAGCACAGACACCGGCACUCAUUCUCAUUCCUAAUGCCCUUCCUCUCUCUCUUGUCCGUAUCCUUUUUUCGCUCCGCCUGAAUUCUGUUGUUGCACACGCGUGCUUGCGGCGGAUGUGCCCGUGAGAGCGAAGACGUUCUGGGAGGGGGGAGGAGGCAGGGAGGGGAGCGCAGGAUUUCUCGAGCAUCGGUGUUGUAGCCUUCGAUGUGCUGUGUGAUGCGGGCUUCUAUGGCCGGUGUUUUUCUUUUCGCGUCAUCCUCACAGCAACCGGUGAAGUAGUAGCGGAUGCCUGAUCCUUUUUUCGCUUCCAUUUUUCUCUUCGGUCCUUUGUCUGUGCGAGACGGCCCGUGCGCGGCGGCGGGGAGGCGAAGGUGUAUGCGAACACAAACCCCGACUGGAAGGACUAGUAACGGGCGAAGCAACGAUAAGCAACAAGAAUGAGCAGAGCAUGAGAGCGCGUAUCUCCUGCGCUUCCAGCCAUCCUUAUCCCUCUCGCCACCUCCACAUGCUGGCCCAACGCUUCUUGCGAGCGACUCGAGCGGGCUGUCGCCACGCGCGUUGGUCCACAUGUGUGAGUGACGGAGCUAGUGCCCCGCCCGCGCUCUCUCCGUGCCUGAUGGCUGAUGCACGCGAGCGAGCAGAGAGGGCACGGAGUAGAGCUCUGCGUGCCCUUCAUCUGAUCGGGGCCGGGACAUCACCGCUGGCUCGUAGCCGACCCCUCGCACGAGGUCAUGUUGAUGCAGAUCACCUUCCACGUAAGUGCACGCGUUCACUUACGCUCACGCAAAGACAUGGGCCAACGCCAGGAACCACACUACCGUGAGCCACAUGCUCAUGCCAGUUAUCCUGACAACACCUCUUCUUCACCUUUGUUUUCUGUCGCUCUCGCGUUGCUCACCGCCCUCUCUCUUCGAAUGCCCACUCACACGCACGAAUUGGGCAUCGCUGCACUGCUUACGUUUCUGCCACCUACCAUGUACCGAACCUCCCCUCCUCCGCCUUUUUUGUCCCGUACGCACGCUCACUUGCCAUGCGUGCUUGUGUAUGUGUGUGCUGAUGUGGCCGUGCUCCGUUGAUUUCUUUCACUGUCUCACCAUGACAACUCCACGCGAAG